rnacentral:rRNA from 1 species
UGGGGGAUAUUGCACAAUGGGCGAAAGCCUGAUGCAGCGACGCCGCGUGGGGGAUGAAGGCCUUCGGGUUGUAAACUUCUUUUGCUCUGAACAAGGCGCACCAUGGGGUGUGUUGAGUGUAGGGGUUGAUUAGCGCCGGCUAACUACGUGCCAGCAGCCGCGGUAAUACGUAGGGCGCGAGCGUUGUCCGGAAUUAUUGGGCGUAAAGGGCUUGUAGGUGGCUGGUUGCGUCUGUCGUGAAAGCUCAUGGCUUAACUGUGGGUUUGCGGUGGGUACGGGCUGGCUUGAGUGCAGUAGGGGAGGCGGGAAUUCCUGGUGUAGCGGUGGAAUGCGCAGAUAUCAGGAGGAAUACCGGUGUCGAAGGCGGGUCUCUGGGCUGUUACUGACACUGAGGAGCGAAAGCAUGGGGAGCGAACAGG